CGGCCGCUGAGGAGGAGGAGGAGCGGGCCGCGGGGGCUACGCUGCCUUGGUACUACCCUGCUAGAGUUUGGUAGGAAAAAUAUCUACUUACUGAAGCUUUCUUGACAUAGAAAGAGAUGUGGGGGGAUUCUCGAUCUGCUAACAGAACAGGACCUUUUCGGGAACUCUAAUGAUCCAUGACAAAGAAGUCACUCUUGAAUAUGUACCAAGUCCAGAUUUUUGGUACUGCAAAAGAUGUAAGGCCAGCACUGGUGGGCAUCAGUCUUGUUGUUCAUACUGUAAGGGCCCAAAGGAAGAAGUCAAGCAAGAACUAGUAUCCUAUCCUCAACCUCAGAAAACAUCCAUUCCAGUACCCUCAGAAAAACAGCCCAACCAGCCACGACCUGUUGAUAAGGAGCAUGAACUCAGGAAGCGGGAGGAAGGCCAAGAGUCGAGAUUGGGACAUCAGAAGAGAGAGACAGAAAGAUACUUCCCUCACUCUCGAAGGGAAGGACUCACUUUCCGAAGAGACCGAGAAAAGGAGUCAUGGUCUGGAGAGACUCGCCAGGAUGGAGAGAGCAAAACAAUUAUGCUAAAACGUAUCUAUCGUUCUACUCCACCCGAAGUGAUAGUUGAAGUGCUGGAGCCCUACGUGCAUCUCACUACUGCCAAUGUCCGUAUCAUCAAGAACAGAACUGGCCCUAUGGGUCACACUUAUGGUUUUAUAGACCUCGACUCACAUGCA
rnacentral:lncRNA from 1 species